rnacentral:tRNA from 1 species
AGCCCGGUCGUCUAGUGGUCAAUGGGGGAUAAGGCUUAGAACCCCUUGACGAGAGUUCGAAUCUCUCCCGGGCUA